rnacentral:rRNA from 1 species
GACAGAGGGUGCAAACGUUGUUCGGAAUUACUGGGCGUAAAGCGUGCGUAGGUGGUUUGUUAAGUCUGUUGUGAAAGCCCCGGGCUCAACCUGGGAAUGGCAAUGGAUACUGGCAAGCUAGAGUGCGGUAGAGGGUAGUGGAAUUCCCGGUGUAGCGGUGAAAUGCGUAGAGAUCGGGAGGAACACCAGUGGCGAAGGCGGCUACCUGGACCAGCACUGACACUGAGGCACGAAAGCUAGGGGAGCAAACAGG